rnacentral:rRNA from 1 species
UACGUAGGGGGCUAGCGUUAUCCGGAAUUACUGGGCGUAAAGGGUGCGUAGGUGGUUUCUUAAGUCAGAGGUGAAAGGCUACGGCUCAACCGUAGUAAGCCUUUGAAACUGGGGAACUUGAGUGCAGGAGAGGAGAGUGGAACUCCUAGUGUAGCGGUGAAAUGCGUAGAUAUUAGGAGGAACACCAGUUGCGAAGGCGGCUCUCUGGACUGUAACUGACACUGAGGCACGAAAGCGUGGGGAGCAAACAGG